AUGCGGCGGCGAGGCAUGGGAAUGGCCAAGUCGGGGAACCGCCGGACGAGGUCCUCGCCGCCGGCCACCGCCCUCGCCUCCGCAAUCACCACGUCCUCCUCAUCCUCCACAAACCUCGAAGAAACCGCCUCGCCGUACUUCCUACCUCAGCUGAUCCCAUUGACCGCGAGCCGCCUGACGACCCUCGAGGACUUCUUCGCCCUACGUGCCGCCUGCCGCGCCUACCGGGCUCACCUCCCGCUGUCAUCGUCCAACCUCGCCUCACAGGGUCCGCUCCUCCUCGUCCCCCACAAGACCUCUGCCUCGGAAGCGCUCUUCCACGUCCCCCUCCGCCGCAUCCUCCGCUUCCGCCUCCCGCGCACCCCCCUGGCCCAUGGACGCCGCAGCCCCACCUGCUUCAGCCGUCUCUUCACCCCCCAAGACCUCAGCCUCACCUGCUUCCACUCCUUCGGCUGCCGCGUCGCCAUACAACGCAUGAGCGCCAACGCCAGCCGCCCCGAGAUCCGCAUCCGCCACCUCCUCACAGGUGAGCGAGCCCGCCUGCCCGAUCCCCCUGAAUGCGUUGGAGGUGUUCUCUUUUCCGACGACCUAAUCCUCGCCUUCACGCCAUGGCACCGGGACAUCUACUACUGCCGCAUUGGGGAUGCUCAGUGGCAAGCGGCGCGGUGCGACGAAUGCUACCACGUUUACAGUCUGAUGUUCGUGAAAGGCACCCUCUACGCGUUGAUUUAUCCAAAUUAUCGUCUUGCUGUUGUCGAGCUUGACAAGAAUUAUGUGGUAUUGUCGUUUCUUGGUGAGGAACUUAGCCCACAGACAGUUCCAAAAAGUUCGGUGGCCUGGCUCGCAGAGUGUCAGGGUGAGCUAAUGCUAAUUAUCAAAAUCAGGUUGUAUCGUGUUUUCCAGUGGGGAUCCGGGGAAAGGAAGUGGGCGAGGACACAUAGCCUUGGUGGUUGCAGCUUGUUCUUUAAUAUGCAUGAGUUCGCUGGUUGCCUUGGUCCAGAUCAUCCGGGAGUUCGAAGAGACUGCUUGUACUUUACUGGAAGCCUUGGGAACUGGAGCGAGUAUUCUCUGGUUGAUAGAUCUUUGCAUGAAAUUAUUGCUGACUACCCAGGGCAAGCAGUACGGAAGGAUUUUGUGCCACUGGCUUGGGUCCUUCCAAGCAUUUGUUGA
rnacentral:rRNA from 1 species